rnacentral:rRNA from 1 species
AAUGAACGCUGGCGGCGCGCCUAAUACAUGCAAGUCGAGCGAGAAGACGUAGCAAUACGUUUGUAAAGCGGCGAACGGGUGAGGAAUACAUGGGUAACCUACCCUCGAGUGGGGAAGUAACUAGCCGAAAGGUUAGCUAAUACCGCGUACGCUUCUUGGACUUCGGUUCAGGGAGGAAAGCGAUACCGUGGGUAUCGCGCUCUUGGAUGGGCUCAUGUCCUAUCAGCUUGUUGGUGAGGUAACGGCUCACCAAGGCUUCGACGGGUAGCUGGUCUGAGAGGACGAUCAGCCACACUGGCACUGCGACACGGGCCAGACUCCUACGGGAGGCAGCAGUAAGGAAUAUUGCGCAAUGGGCGAAAGCCUGACGCAGCGACGCCGCGUGGGGGA